rnacentral:rRNA from 1 species
CGGAUGAGUUGCGAACGGGUGAGUAACGCGUAGGUAACCUGCCUCUUAGCGGGGGAUAACUAUUGGAAACGAUAGCUAAUACCGCAUAAAAGUCGACAUCGCAUGAUGUUGACUUGAAAGGUGCAAUUGCAUCACUAAGAGAUGGACCUGCGUUGUAUUAGCUAGUUGGUGAGGUAACGGCUCACCAAGGCGACGAUACAUAGCCGACCUGAGAGGGCGAUCGGCCACACUGGGACUGAGACACGGCCCAGACUCCUACGGGAGGCAGCAGUAGGGAAUCUUCGGCAAUGGGGGCAACCCUGACCGAGCAACGCCGCGUGAGUGAAGAAGGUUUUCGGAUCGUAAAGCUCUGUUGUAAGAGAAGAACGAGUGUGAGAGUGGAAAGUUCACACUGUGACGGUAACUUACCAGAAAGGGACGGCUAACUACGUGCCAGCAGCCGCGGUAAUACGUAGGUCCCGAGCGUUAUCCGGAUUUAUUGGGCGUAAAGCGAGCGCAGGCGGUUAGAUAAGUCUGAAGUUAAAGGCUGUGGCUUAACCAUAGUACGCUUUGGAAACUGUUUAACUUGAGUGCAGAAGGGGAGAGUGGAAUUCCAUGUGUAGCGGUGAAAUGCGUAGAUAUAUGGAGGAACACCGGUGGCGAAAGCGGCUCUCUGGUCUGUAACUGACGCUGAGGCUCGAAAGCGUGGGGAGCAAACAGGAUUAGAUANCCUGGUAGUCCACGCCGUAAACGAUGAGUGCUAGGUGUUGGGUCCUUUC